rnacentral:rRNA from 1 species
GCGGGGAUGAGGUGUGGGUAGCGGAGAAAUUCCAAUCGAACUUGGAGAUAGCUGGGUCUCUCCGAAAUAACUUUAGGGCUAGCCUCGAGGGAAAGAGGCAUGGAGGGAGAGCACUGUUUGGGCUAGGGGCCCUUCUCGGGUUACCGAAUUCAGAUAAACUCCGAAUGCCACGUACUUAUACUCGGGAGUCAGACUGCGAGUGUUAAGAUCCGUAGGCGAAAGGGAAGCAGCACAGACCCCCAGUUAAGGUCCCCAAAAAUAUGUUAAGUGGAAAAGGAUGUGGGGUUGCUUAGCCAACCAGGAUGUUGGCUUUGAAGCAGCCACCAUUGAAAGAGUGCGUAAUAG